UACGGAGGGUGCGAGCGUUGUCCGGAAUCAUUGGGCGUAAAGGGCGCGUAGGUGGCCCGGUCAGUUCGUGGUGAAAGCGCGGGGCUCAACCCUGCGUCGGCCAUGAAUACUGCCGCGGCUGGAGCACUGUAGAGGCAGGCGGAAUUCCGGGUGUAGCGGUGGAAUGCGUAGAGAUCCGGAAGAACACCGGUGGCGAAGGCGGCCUGCUGGCAGUUAGCUGGACACUGAGGCGCGACAGCGUGGGGAGCAAACAGG
rnacentral:rRNA from 1 species